rnacentral:rRNA from 1 species
UACGGAGGGUGCAAGCGUUGCUCGGAAUCACUGGGCGUAAAGCGACCGCAGGCGGCCUGACAAGUCGGAUGUGAAAGCCCCGGGCUCAACCUGGGAAUUGCAUUCGAGACUGAAUAGCUAGGGUACGGUAGAGGGAAGUGGAAUUUCCGGUGUAGCGGUGAAAUGCGUAGAUAUCGGAAGGAACAUCAGUGGCGAAAGCGACUUCCUGGACCAGUACCGACGUUCAGGCACGAAAGCGUGGGGAGCAAACAGG